CCCUGCAGGUCUACAGGGGCCACGGUGACCUUGUCCGCUGCCUCAGUGUCUCCCCAGGGGGCCAGUGGCUGGCUUCAGGCUCAGAUGAUGGCACACUGCGGCUCUGGGAGGUGGCCACCGCCCGCUGCCUGAGGACAGUGCCUGUAGGGGGCGUGGUGAGGAGCGUGGCCUGGAACCCGAGCUCCACCCUGUGCCUGGUGGCUGUGGCUGUGGCAGACACCGUGUGGCUUAUCAACCCUGCCUUGGGCGACCGGCUGGUGGGGGGCGC